AAGCAGUAAGAUUGGAACCGUCAGGAGUGUGAGGCGGGGAAGCAAUUACCCUGGAGAGAGUGUUUCCCUGAGGGGUCCGUGUUAGGACUCUGGUCUGGUCAGAUCGUCUCCAGGAGAGACCUCACCCAGCGCCAGAAAGGAAAAUCAGUUAUCUCCGUGUUUCCAGACUACCUUUCUGAAGAACUCAAGCACAGGAUUGACUUUACCGAGGAACCUUACAAUUGCCAAAUACACCCUUGUGGAGGGCCUCUCUGAAGGCGUCACUGGGAACUUCUGCUACCAUCGUUCACUUUCAGAAAGGGGGAGUUGCUUCUUAGGAAACACGAACAGGCAGCCUUUGUGACUCGGACGACAAGGGCCAAAGCGGAGCUCAGCUGCCUGUCUGCCCUGCUCCCGUCAUUUGCACAGAACUGUUCUGAUGCUCCUGCCUUCUGAGCUCCCUGGAUUCUACCACAGCCCCAACUAUUCAAGGCCAGAGCUGACAGAAACAAAGAAGGCACAAAAUUUACACAAGCUUCCAUUUCUUCAAAACUUGCUUUCUUGGAGGGGUGUGGAUAUGUCUUGAACACAUGCAUUUUUUUCUGUAUACUUAAAACAUGUAGGUUACACUCUUCCUCCUCUCCCAGAAGGAGCUUCAUGUUUUACAGUUUUUCAUCUGAUGUUUCAAGGCCCUGAGUCUUUUGCCCUAUUUAUUACCACCUAGCUAUAAUCUUGGAGGCAGAGACAUAACUUCAAUAUUAGCAUAACCCUCCCUAAUAUCCAACAAACACUGUAUGUUCCUGGCAGAUGGCCUAAAUUAACACCUAUAGAGGGAAGAACAGAAACUAGGCCUCUUGUAAAUACUACAAAGCAGGGUCUUUACAAUGAAUUUGGGCAACAUGCGUGCAAAAUUUCAUUCCAAGUAGUCUAAGUAACAGACUACAUGGGACAGCUUUCCAAACUCAAUGGAACAAAUUUCAGGUUUUCCAACCCUACACCUGAAGACUAGAACACCUGACAGUGGGUUUUCUGAGAAUUUUGCAUUUUCUAAGGAGGUUUGAUUUGCUUUAGUUAUCUCGGUUGGUUCCCACAGGAGAAUCAGCAGGAAGACUUGCAUGAUCUUAUUGGGCUUUGGAAUUUCACUUCCUCCUUGCUUCCUACUUUGUAGGCAGGAGAUUAUUCAGCCAUACCUUUACAUAUCAUCCAACAAUCUUUUUUUCAACUGAACUCAAAUAAUGAUGUUCAGAUGAACAAUGGGUUCAGUUUCUUGUUUUUUUUAAGGUGGGUGUAAUUUGACUACUUUUUUCAUUAAAAAAACACAAAACAAAAAUCGAAGAAACAGAACCCCUGAUUGCAGUUUUUCUUAUUCAGAGACUGAGGAGAACAGGGUAAUGGGCUGAUUAACUAGCUUCCACUGCGAGUGAGCCUCAAAUACUCCUCUGUGGGUAGUUGAAUUCAACCUUGGUCCUCUAAAUGUUUUCUGGCUUCUUCAGUAGAAUAGAUUCCUCUGUGACAGAGGGAAGGGCAGUAUUUUCUUUAAUUCUCAAAGUUGAGUUCCAUAUUCAGUAAGAAUUGAGCUCUUAUUGAAUUGCCUGCAUACUUUCUCAAUUGAGCUACUACUCUGUGGAAUAGGCCUGUUACAGAGCCUGGUACUGACCAGCUCUCAGCGAUGCUGGGAGGUCAUCAUAAAGCCACAAGCAUGCUCACUCCUCAUCUGUCCCCUCUGCAGAGUGGGCCACAUGAGCUCUGCCUGAAGGAGACCUUCCUUCUUCUGCUUUCUAGAACAAACAAGUCUGUGUGUUAUGUGCGUAUGGGACAAUUUACUGCUCCUCCAUAUUUACGAUUUCUUUUCCUAGUCUAUCCAUGAGGUGGACUCCCUCGGUUUAAUUCAUUUAAUAUGCACUGCAAUAACAGCAAAACUUGUUAGGUUUCCCUUGCUUGGUUUGUGUAGAAAUUGGUAGAGGAAAAAAAAUAAAGAACACACAGCCUGGGGCUAAAUCAGACGCCUGAAAACAGACGACCAGUGAGCUUCUUCUACCCAUGAAAAUGGCUGAUGAACAGCCGGAGUGACCUGCUCCAACACGUAACCAGGAACUCUUCCUUGAGGGACAAUUGCCAGCUUUGCCCUUGCUUUGUAACAGUGCCACCAAACCUCCUUUGCUGAUAGCAUGAUGGCUAAUAACCCUAAUACAAAAGUCCAUUUCAAUGAA